rnacentral:rRNA from 1 species
UACGGGGGGGGCAAGCGUUGUUCGGAAUUACUGGGCGUAAAGGGCUCGUAGGUGGCCAACUAAGUCAGACGUGAAAUCCCUCGGCUUAACCGAGGAACUGCCUGUCAAACUGCAUGGCUUGAGACCAGGAGAGGUGAGUGGAAUUCCCAGUGUAGCGGUGAAAUGCGUAGAUAUUGGGAGGAACACCAGUGGCGAAGGCGGCUCACUGGGCUGGUACUGACGCUGAUGCGCGAAAGCGUGGGGAGCAAACAGG